rnacentral:tRNA from 1 species
GGAGAGAUGGCCGAGUGGUUGAUAGCUCCGGUCUUGAAAACCGGUAUAGUUCCCAAAGAACUAUCGAGGGUUCGAAUCCCUCUCUCUCCU